rnacentral:rRNA from 1 species
CAUGCAGUCGAGGGGCAGCGAGGGUAGCAAUACCUGUCGGCGACCGGCGCACGGGUGAGUAACGCGUAUGCAACCUGCCCCCGUCUGGGGAAUAGCCCGUCGAAAGGCGGAUUAACGCCCCAUAGUUCUCCNNUCCGGCAUCGGAAGGGAGGUAAAGGUUACGGACGGGGAUGGGCAUGCGUGCCAUUAGCUUGUUGGCGGGGUAACGGCCCACCAAGGCUACGAUGGCUAGGGGAGCUGAGAGGCUGAACCCCCACACUGGUACUGAGACACGGACCAGACUCCUACGGGAGGCAGCAGUGAGGAAUAUUGGUCAAUGGGCGAGAGCCUGAACCAGCCAUGCCGCGUGCAGGAAGACGGCCCUACGGGUUGUAAACUGCUUUUCUGCGGGAAGAACGGCCCCGACGCGAUCGGGGUGUGACGGUACCGCAGGAAUAAGGAUCGGCUAACUCCGUGCCAGCAGCCGCGGUAAUACGGAGGAUCCGAGCGUUAUCCGGAUUUACUGGGUUUAAAGGGUGCGUAGGCGGCUCCCUCAGUCAGCGGUGAAAUGUGCAGGCUCAACCUGCAACCUGCCGUUGAUACUGGGGAGCUUGAGUUGGGUUGAGGCAGGCGGAAUGUGCGGUGUAGCGGUGAAAUGCAUAGAUAUCGCACAGAACGCCGAUUGCGUAGGCAGCUUGCCAAGCCCACACUGACGCUGAGGCACGAAAGCGUGGGGAUCAAACAGGAUUAGAUACCCUGGUAGUCCACGCCGUAAACGAUGAUCACUCGCUGUUGGCGAUACACAGCCAGCGGCCAAGCGAAAGCGAUAAGUGAUCCACCUGGGGAGUACGGCCGCAAGGCUGAAACUCAAAGGAAUUGACGGGGGCCCGCACAAGCGGAGGAACAUGUGGUUUAAUUCGAUGAUACGCGAGGAACCUUACCCGGGCUAGAACGCCGAGCGAAUAUGGGGGAAACUUCAUAGCCAGCAAUGGCGGUCGGCGAGGUGCUGCAUGGUUGUCGUCAGCUCGUGCCGUGAGGUGUCGGCUUAAGUGCCAUAACGAGCGCAACCCCUAUCGGUAGUUGCCAGCGGGUCAAGCCGGGAACUCUGCCGAAACUGCCAGCGUAAGCUGUGAGGAAGGUGGGGAUGACGUCAAAUCAGCACGGCCCUUACGUCCGGGGCGACACACGUGUUACAAUGGCCGGUACAGAGGGCAGCUACCUGGUGACAGGAUGCGAAUCUCCAAAGCCGGUCUCAGUUCGGAUCGGAGUCUGCAACUCGACUCCGUGAAGCUGGAUUCGCUAGUAAUCGCGCAUCAGCCACGGCGCGGUGAAUACGUUCCCGGGCCUUGUACACACCGCCCGUCAAGCCAUGGGAGCCGGAAAGACCUGAAGUCCGUAACCGCAAGGAGCG